CCUAGAAAGAACUAGGAAAUAUUUCAAAAAUUCAGCUGCUUUAUUGCUUUAUCAAGGGAAUUAGACAUUUUCAUGUAGGGGAUAUGAUAAUAAAUUAUUCUUCAGAAUUAUUCUGAGAGAAUCCUUAAAGGUCAUCUGAUCUAAUCCUAUGAUGAAUACCAGACUUCUCUCAGCAGCAUCCCUCCUAUGUGCUCCCUCUAGCUUUUGCCUGGACUGUCCUAGUGACAGGGACCUCAUUACCUCACCUGGCAGACCAUGCUGUCUUUGCACAGGUCUCACUGUUGGAGAAGAAAGGCUGGAUUGAAAUUUAGCUCCCUGGAACUUAUUCUCCCGGACCUACUUUUGUCCUCUAGAGUUGGUGGGGGGCUUUAUUUCUUUUGCAGAGGAUAGCCCUUGAAGUACUUGAAAACAGCUUUCAUGUCCCCUUAAAUCUUUUUUCCUCCUUGGGGUUAACUCCCUUAGUUCUUUCAUGAUCCUCGCUUGUUAUAAUUCCCAGAUUCUCUGUCUUCCUGUUGCCACCCCUCUGAUGCACGAGAGUUUGUCAGCACUUAUCCUGGAGUGUUGUCAGGAGGAAACACGACACAUUGGCGUGAUCCAGCAGUGCUGAGAAGAACAGGAUCAUCACCUCCCUCACCUCCUUCUUUUGUGCUCUGUUUCCAACCAUGCAGCCUAAACUCGCCUUAGGUUUUCUGAGAGUCACAUUACACCCUUGACUCAUACUGAGCUUGCAAUCAACAUGUAGCUCUUUUAGGUCCAUCUUCCAAAUUUGGAAAUUAUACAGCUGUGCUUUUUGUUCUUCUGAACCCAAGGGUGGGACUUCACAUUUCCCACUAGUAAACUUCAUUAUGUCAAAAUCAGUUCCUUGUUCCAACCCUUCAAGGUUGACUUGGAACCUUACUCUUUUACUCUAUUUAGUGAUUCCCUAAUUGAUUUUGUGUCAUCUGAAGUUUUGAUAAAUAUGCUCUCCGUGUCCCCAUUCAGGUUGUCAUUAAUUUUUUUUUCAAGCUGGACAGGAAAUUUCCUGAGGUCGGGUUUGCGGAGGAAGAUGAAGCAAAGCUGGAGUGACUCCACAGGGACGUUGUGUUUGGAUCAACAUGAAUGACUAAUGCAAUGCACUUUCUGGGGCUGUGAGUGGCUGGGCAACCAGGGUCCUAGACCCCAAAGGUGGAAGAAAGCUGGCAUUCCCACUCACCGCUCACAGCUCUCAGCUCAAAAGAGAGGGAAACGGAAAGAUAACACCGAUAAAAACACCAGCUCCACCCGAAUGACUCAAACGAAGGUGAGAAGAGACACAGGGAGAGACGGAGCCCAGCAGGGUAGGGACAGCAGGUGUGAACGUGUGCGUGUGUGCGUGCGUGCACAGGAAUGCCCACAGAUGCACUGAAUUAAGGAGUAAACAGAGAAAACCCUCCAGGAUAAGAAAAGGUGAUUGAAGUUGAUCAAGAAACUACUCCGGGUAAGAAUAAUGACAGUAAGAACCAUGCGCUACACUGUUCCAUUUGCUAUAUAUUUACUGACUGCUGCUCUGCGCAGGGCAUGUCCUGGGCUCUGAGGAUUCAGCAAGAAAUGAAACCAAGUUCUUGCCUUCAAGGAACUCAUGCUCGUGUCAGACAUGUGAGGCGCGGAACACACGUUGCUACCGCAUUUACAAACCACAGGAGGUGGUUUCUGUUCUCCCAAGCUACAAAUGCGGAAAUGGAAGCACAAAGAAGCUUUAAGAACUUGGCUGAGUCUCACACUAGAGCCAAGAUUUGAACUCAGGUCUGUCGGAGUCCAGAGCCCCUGAUUCUAACCCCUGGAAGACGACACACUGCCCCCACUCUCGAGUCCCAAGCUGAAGCCCCACUGGCCCUGUCUUAGUUAGUACAACUCCUUAGGCCAUCUUUUUCUCCUUGAACCUCAGUCUAUCCAUCUGUGAAAAAAGGGGGGGGGUGUGAUUGUUUGAUCUCUGAAAUCUCUUCCAGCUCCAGGGUUCUAUUAUUCUGGGGGGAAAUCUUUAUUGGUAUUCUUCCCCCUCCCAAGUAUGUCUUGUGGAGUUUAAGCAGAAGCUCAGUGGACGUUCACACAGAGACAAACAUCCAGAGUCCUGUUUCCCACACUGGGUUCCAAGGAUUUCUUUCCAGGGAUUUGGAACUUUCUAUGAGAAUUUAAUUUUUGCGAAACAGAUUCCUUGAGGGUCCUCAGCUCCAGAGAGAAGCAGAGGAGGGCGAGAAAGGGGGCAGGAGGGGGUGAAGAAGAAGAAGGGCUGCUGGGGGCUGAGACGCAGCUAGUCCAGGCCCAAGGCUCGGAGCCCGGGCGGGAGGUGUUGUUCAGGCUGCGCCUAGAACUGGGUGAGCGUGUGGCUAGAAUAUUUGAAAGGGGAGGGGCCCGUUGCCAGUUGCUAACCUCCAUGACUGAACAAGGUGAGAUGGGUCCCAUCUCUUCACCUUAACCCCCUGACCUCACCUGGCCGGUCAACCGCUCCUAAUGUGAGCUUUGUCGGACUGGAAAAGCGAGGUGGCAGCGGGAGCCUGGCCCGCCCAGUGGCUAAAUGCAGCCCGGGUGCCCCUGAUAAGCUUAGUGAACUUAUUAAAUUACACAGGAAAAAUAGAGAUGGAAUAUUAAUUCCACACACUCUCCUCUCAGCCUGGGGAACCUGCCUUCCUGGGUUUCACUUUUCAAAGGCUGAAAUAGAUACGGAGAUUUCACACUUAAUUAAAGGAGAAGGGUGCUCACUUCAAGUCUUUUCAAAACCAUUUUGGUUCUGAGCAGAGUGGAGCCAAUGGAGACCCAGUCACCAUCUGGCAUGAAAGGUGUGAACUCAGAGUCUCCCUUCAGCUCUAGACAUCAGAUGCACAAACAAAGAGAAUUAAUUUCGGAGGCCCCCUUAGAUGGCCCCUCCUGCUCCAGCUGUAAGUGGAGAGCCCGUGCAUUGACUAGCAAGGUAUUAAAAAGUGGGGUCUGAGGGGUCGCCUGUGACACAGAGUGCCAGGUGCCAGAGCUCACCCCGCAGGGCAGGUUAUCUUAUCAUCCAGGCUGAUAAAACUCGGGAAAGUCGGGCCAUAAGGAACAAAUAUUUAUAAGCCCAACACCUUUCUGUCCCUGACAGAUUAGGCACAGAAUGUAAGCAGGAGCAGAGGGGUGAGUUACAAUCAACCUUGGUCUUUGGAGCCUGGUUUUUGAUCAGAACCGUCCUGAGCUCUUCCAGUCUUGAUGCGAAGGAUUCAUGGCGAGUGCUCAACUGGUUAGGAGAUGCUUUGACAUCUAUCACCUCACAUGACCCUGCUGACAGCCUGGUGAGGACCGAGCUGUUAUUACCCCAUUUUACAGUCGGGGAGACUGAAGCGCAGACAGGUUAAGUGCCCUUUCACACAGUUAGCCAGCAGGACUUGAAUGCAAGUUUACUGACUGCAGAACCUAUGUGCUUUCCACACGCCAAUAGUGGCCUGGAGUGGUUCUCUGCUCACUCAACUCUCCUUGGAAUUAGCAGCUCCCCAGGAAGCCUCCCUGUGUUGCCCUCAGUGUCCUAGUCACGGGCCCUGCCCCCCUGGCAGAUGAGGCCAACCGGCAUCAAGAGGGAGUAAAGGAGACAGUGACCCCGAUGGAGAUGGCCAUGGGGUGCUCUAAGAUAGCCCUUACCCCAAAAUACAUCCCUAAGGUUUCUACUGGGACUUGGAAUUCAUUCCUUUGGGUCCCCAAUUUUUUUCUGUUUAUCCAUUCUUCUGGGAAGAGGUUAUUAAAAGAUUAAACACAAAUGUGUUAGAAUGAGAGGCUCACCCUGGCUGGUGUGGCUCAGUGGAUUGAGACCUGGCCUGCGAC